CAGCAGUGGGGAAUAUUGCACAAUGGGGGAAACCCUGAUGCAGCGACGCCGCGUGGAGGAAGAAGGUCUUCGGAUUGUAAACUCCUGUUGUUGAGGAAGAUAAUGACGGUACUCAACAAGGAAGUGACGGCUAACUACGUGCCAGCAGCCGCGGUAAAACGUAGGUCACAAGCGUUGUCCGGAAUUACUGGGUGUAAAGGGAGCGCAGGCGGGAGAACAAGUUGGAAGUGAAAUCCAUGGGCUCAACCCAUGAACUGCUUUCAAAACUGUUUUUCUUGAGUAGUGCAGAGGUAGGCGGAAUUCCCGGUGUAGCGGUGGAAUGCGUAGAUAUCGGGAGGAACACCAGUGGCGAAGGCGGCCUACUGGGCACCAACUGACGCUGAGGCUCGAAAGUGUGGGUAGCAAACAGGAUUAGAUACCCUGGUAGUCCACACCGUAAACGAUGAUUACUAGGUGUUGGAGGAUUGACCCCUUCAGUGCCGCAGUUAACACAAUAAGUAAUCCACCUGGGGAGUACGACCGCAAGGUUGAAACUCAAAGGAAUUGACGGGGGCCCGCACAAGCAGUGGAGUAUGUGGUUUAAUUCGAAGCAACGCGAAGAACCUUACCAGGUCUUGACAUCCAACUAACGAAGUAGAGAUACAUUAGGUGCCCUUCGGGGAAAGUUGAGACAGGUGGUGCAUGGUUGUCGUCAGCUCGUGUCGUGAGAUGUUGGGUUAAGUCCCGCAACGAGCGCAACCCUUAUGGUCAGUUACUACGCAAGAGGACUCUGGCCAGACUGCCGUUGACAAAACGGAGGAAGGUGGGGAUGACGUCAAAUCAUCAUGCCCUUUAUGACUUGGGCUACACACGUACUACAAUGGCGUUAAACAAAGAGAAGCAAGACCGCGAGGUGGAGCAAAACUCAGAAACAACGUCCCAGUUCGGACUGCAGGCUGCAACUCGCCUGCACGAAGUCGGAAUUGCUAGUAAUCGUGGAUCAGCAUGCCACGGUGAAUACGUUCCCGGGCCUUGUACACACCGCCCGUCACACCAUGAGAGUUGGGAAUACCCGAAGCCUGUGAGCCAACUGUAAAGAGGCAGCAGUCGAAGGUGACCU
rnacentral:rRNA from 1 species